GAAUUCGCCCUUAGAGUUUGAUCCUGGCUCAGAAUGAACGCUGGCGGCGUGCCUUAGACAAGCAAGUCGAACGCGAACGUAGACUUCGGUCUACUAGUAGAGUGGCGAACGGGUGAGUAACACGUGGGCAAUCUGCCCAGUAGUGGGGAACAACUUGGGGAAACUCGAGCUAAUACCGCAUACGUCUUUCUGGCUUCGGCUGGGAAGGGAAAGAUGGCCUCUUCUUGAAAGCUAUCGCUACUGGAGGAGCCCGCGCUCGAUUAGUUAGUUGGUGGGGUAACGGCCUACCAAGACGACGAUCGAUAGCCGGCCUGAGAGGGUGAUCGGCCACACUGGAACUGAGACACGGUCCAGACUCCUACGGGAGGCAGCAGUCGGGAAUAUUGCGCAAUGGGGGAAACCCUGACGCAGCAACGCCGCGUGGAGGAUGAAGGCCUUCGGGUCGUAAACUUCUGUCAGAUGGGAAGAAAAAGUACGAGCUAAUAAUUCGUACCCUUGACGGUACCAUCAGAGGAAGCACCGGCUAACUCCGUGCCAGCAGCCGCGGUAAUAAGGGCG
rnacentral:rRNA from 1 species